GUGAACGCUGGCGGUAGGCCUAACACAUGCAAGUCGAACGGCAGCACAGUAAGAGCUUGCUCUUACGGGUGGCGAGUGGCGGACGGGUGAGGAAUACAUCGGAAUCUACUUUUUCGUGGGGGAGAACGUAGGGAAACUUACGCUAAUACCGCAUACGACCUACGGGUGAAAGCAGGGGAUCUUCGGACCUUGCGCGAUUGAAUGAGCCGAUGUCGGAUUAGCUAGUUGGCGGGGUAAAGGCCCACCAAGGCGACGAUCCGUAGCUGGUCUGAGAGGAUGAUCAGCCACACUGGAACUGAGACACGGUCCAGACUCCUACGGGAGGCAGCAGUGGGGAAUAUUGGACAAUGGGCGCAAGCCUGAUCCAGCCAUACCGCGUGGGUGAAGAAGGCCUUCGGGUUUUAAAGCCCUUUUGUUGGGAAAGAAAAGCAGCAGGUUAAUACCCCGCUGUUCUGACGGUACCCAAAGAAUAAGCACCGGCUAACUUCGUG
rnacentral:rRNA from 1 species